rnacentral:rRNA from 1 species
AUGAACGCUGGCGGUAUGCUUAACACAUGCAAGUCGAACGGUCUCUUCGGAGGUAGUGGCGGACGGGUGAGUAACGCGUGAGAAUCUGGCUCUAGGUCUGGGACAACAGUUGGAAACGACUGCUAAUACCGGAUGUGCCGAAAGGUGAAAGGCUUGCUGCCUAGAGAUGAGCUCGCGUCUGAUUAGCUAGUAGGUGUGGUAAAAGCGCACCUAGGCGACGAUCAGUAGCUGGUCUGAGAGGAUGAUCAGCCACACUGGGACUGAGACACGGCCCAGACUCCUACGGGAGGCAGCAGUGGGGAAUUUUCCGCAAUGGGCGAAAGCCUGACGGAGCAAUACCGCGUGAGGGAGGAAGGCUCUUGGGUUGUAAACCUCUUUUCUCAAGGAAUAAAAAAAUGAAGGUACUUGAGGAAUCAGCAUCGGCUAACUCCGUGCCAGCAGCCGCGGUAAUACGGAGGAUGCAAGCGUUAUCCGGAAUGAUUGGGCGUAAAGCGUCCGCAGGUGGCCCUGUAAGUCUGCUGUUAAAGAGUGAGGCUUAACCUCAUAAAAGCAGUGGAAACUACAGAGCUAGAGUGCGUUCGGGGCAGAAGGAAUUCCUGGUGUAGCGGUGAAAUGCGUAGAGAUCAGGAAGAACACCGGUGGCGAAGGCGUUCUGCUAGGCCGCAACUGACACUGAGGGACGAAAGCUAGGGGAGCGAAUGGGAUUAGAUACCCCAGUAGUCCUAGCCGUAAACGAUGGAUACUAGGCGUUGCGAGUAUCGACCCUCGCAGUGCCGGAGCCAACGCGUUAAGUAUCCCGCCUGGGGAGUACGCACGCAAGUGUGAAACUCAAAGGAAUUGACGGGGGCCCGCACAAGCGGUGGAGUAUGUGGUUUAAUUCGAUGCAACGCGAAGAACCUUACCAAGACUUGACAUGUCGCGAACUCUUCUGAAAGAAAGAGGUGCCUUCGGGAGCGCGAACACAGGUGGUGCAUGGCUGUCGUCAGCUCGUGUCGUGAGGUGUUGGGUUAAGUCCCGCAACGAGCGCAACCCUCGUUUUUAGUUGCCAGCAUUAAGUUGGGCACUCUAGAGAGACUGCCGGUGACAAACCGGAGGAAGGUGGGGAUGACGUCAAGUCAGCAUGCCCCUUACGUCUUGGGCUACACACGUACUACAAUGCGUCGAACAGAGGGCAGCAAGCUAGCGAUAGCAAGCAAAUCCCGGAAAUCGGCGCUCAGUUCAGAUCGCAGGCUGCAACUCGCCUGCGUGAAGGAGGAAUCGCUAGUAAUUGCAGGUCAGCAUACUGCAGUGAAUUCGUUCCCGGGCCUUGUACACACCGCCCGUCACACCAUGGAAGCUGGUCACGCCCGAAGUCAUUACCCCAACUUUUCGGAGAGGGGGAUGCCUAAGGUAGGACUGGUGACUGGGGUG